rnacentral:lncRNA from 1 species
GAAAAUCUAGAUCGCUUGUACCUCUCUACUUCUGGACCCAAACCAUAUAUGCGUCCCUUCUUGUCCACUCCUCCAACAACAUCCAAGAAGAUGAUGUUGUCAGCUUGUUGAACGGAAACAUCAUUCCCUAGUGGCUCCUGUGAGUCUCUCUCAACAAUGACUGGUACUAUUAUUCAGUAUUAAACUAUUUGACAAUGAAGAAUACUUUACAAAUGCAAGAUCUUAUCCUAAAGUUACUACACAUAUUUUCAUACAAUAAGCAACUGAUGAGAAGAAGAUAUCAAACAUGAAACACUUCAAACUCGGAAACAAAUUGGUCACUUACUUCGCUUGUGAAUUGCGUCCUGCAGAUCUGCUACAAUAGCCUGUGACAAAGAAACAAAACUUCACAUUUUUUCUUCCACACGCAAAAAGAAUACUAAUUAUCAGUGUCAUACUACUAGCCUCUUAGCAAAGGUACCUUCUAAUACUAUACUGUUAACUUAUAUGUUACUUGAGCAAUGAGUUGAUUUUAUAACAUGAGUUGAGUAUGUGAGUUAACAUUUCCAGUGUGCUUUGAUUGGCCUAAUGAUUUCAAUUUAUAUACACGUGAGUGUGUAUUGCACCAUGGUGUCUAAAAACCAAAAAAAAAUAUUUGAACUUUAUAUGUCCCUGUUUGAACCUGGACUCUUUGCAGAUUUACACGGUCAAUGGAUCUAUAGAAAAUAGAAUAUAAUAAUUUACAUUUUGCCAUUCUCUUGGAUGUUACUUUGAAGUUAGCUGAACUUAUGAUCUUUGUUUUGAAUAUAAUAAUUAUGUUGAUGUUCACACAUCUCCAUUAGUGAACUCUUUAACUGUAAACUUGUGCAUUCACACAGAACAAAUGUUCUUGCAUAAGAUGCUAGACAGUUAAGCAUUCACAUAGAACAAAGGUUAUCACUAGAUCCUCCCUUUCUUCACUGUAACACACAGCCACUGUAGCAUAUCACUGGCCAUAUGCAGUAAGAAGCAGAACAUGGAAACUCUCAUUUCAAAGAAUGUCCAGAAACCACAUACUUUCCCAAAAAGCAUGUUCUAUUUAUUAUGGCUGCAGAAGCUGAAGACUGAAGCGCCAUGCUCCAGAAUUUCAGAACUUCCUUACGAAGUUCCACCCCAAACAAAUUUUUAUUAAUUAAUAUAUACUGUACAUACAUAAAAUUAGGGUGCCUUAGAUUGCAGGGCCAAUUCAAGAUUAUGUGUGACCUAAACAAAUUUUGAUCUUUUUUACUUUAGGUGAUCGGAGAGAAUACUAUACCUGGUGUUGUAAAUUGGUGAGUUUCCAUCAUCAAACUAAUGCAACCAUUGUAAAUUGUUUGGGUGCAUCAAUAUUUUAGGAAAGCAACUUCUGUAUUGUAAGUCUUCAUUUCCAUGAUACUGGCAGCUUCUAUUUUUACUACAUCAAAGCUCAAAUUUAGAGAGUACCAAGAUCAGUUACACAAAAAUGCAAAAAUAUAGAUACAAAAUUAGAAAGAACAUCACAAUACAUACAUAACACAAUAAGAUAUUUGUAAUAGGUGUGUGGCAUCGUCUUUACCGAUAAGUGAGUGGCCAUGAAUGCUUGCGCACACUGCAAUAAACUUCUACAAUAAACUUCUAUUAUCAACCAGACAUCACUGAACCUUAUCAAUCAAAUCCUACACAAGUGAACAAACAAACAAACAAACACGUCAAAACCUGGGUCUGAUUCGCACACAUCCACAUAAUAAGUACAAUGCAGAGUGUGAAGAAAAUUGGAUAGCUUUAACCAGUGAUACGAGGUCAAGAAAACUGUAUAAAGAAUUCAUUUGGUCGAAAAUUAGAAUCACAUAAGUAACUGAACAAAUCAAAAAAUUGGAGAACCAAAUUUGAAAACGAAACUCCCAUGCAAUGUAAGAACAGAUUCACAUGACAAAAUCAACGAAGAUCAUAAGAAAAUAAAUAAAAGUUUCAACCGAGUAAGUAGCCUUGAUAUAUAUUUCAACCGACUUCAGAGAAUUUUAAUUCUAAUCCACUUUAUUAAUGCUCACAGGCUGCAUUGAAUAUGAUCUGAACCGAACCUUAUAUGAUUAAAAAAACCAAUUCAUAUCCUACGAUUUCCGAACUGGUUUUCUCCACCUCUAAAUCAAUUUCACCUCAUCGAAAAGUGAAACCAAACAUACACUUAUAUAACUUAAAAGCUAAUCCAAACAUACACUUUUAUUGCACUAAAAUCAAUUCAACAACUAUAUAGAAUCAAUUUUAACUCAUCCAAAAGUGAAACCAAACAUACACUUUUAUAACUUAAAAGCUAAUCUAAACAACACCACAAUCAAAAUCUAAAUUCCAUGUAAGUUUUUUGAGAUGAAAUAGAGCUAGAAAAUUAUCCACCUUAUAGUCCUUAGAGUGCUGAUGAGCUAUCCCUUCCUGACUCAAUUUCCAUCAUCUUCACAACUUCUUCAACCUAUCAUAACAACAAUUUCAUAAAAAGUUGUUCUAACACCAAAAUUACCAACAUAAUUCAUAAAAACUUCUUCAACCUAUCAAUGUUGAUGGUUUCUAUAAGAAGAUUGCUCAGUAUUAGACACCAAAAUAAUUCCACCACUCUUAUGAGAAGAAAUAAUCCUUUCAUUAGUCAAACCCUAAAAAAACAAAAUCAAAUCAAUAGCAUGAAUAAAGAAGAAAUUGACAUAGGAAUCAAAUAGUAGAGAUUAAAAAAGGGGAAGUUAAUUGAUUACUCUGAAUUGGAUUCCUUGUUUGAAACUUUUGUGAAAUUGCGCAUGUGAUUUCUCGUCUCCUACAUUUCCAGGUGUGAAUUCAACACCGCAAGUAGAACACGAGCGAGCGUAACAGGAAAUUGCAAUCCAAUCCAA